ACAUAGCUCAUUGGUAAGAGCUUUCGCCUUUAGAUCCAAAGGUCGCAAGGUUGAAAUCCUGCA
rnacentral:tRNA from 12 species